GUAGUACUCCCUUCGUUUGGAAUUACUUGUCGCAGAAAUGGAUGUAUCUAGACGUAUUUUAUUUCUAGAUACAUUCAUAUCCGAGACAAGUAAUUCCAAAUGGAGGGAGUAUAUG
rnacentral:pre_miRNA from 1 species